GAUGAACGCUGGCGGCGUGCCUAAUACAUGCAAGUCGAGCGAACAGAUGAGGCUCUUGCUCCUCUGACGUUAGCGGCGGACGGGUGAGUAACACGUGGAUACCCUACCUAUAAGACUGGGAUCACUUCGGGAAACCGGAUCUAAUACCGGAUAAUAUAUUGAACCGCAUGGUUCAAUAGUGAAAGACGGUUUUGCUGUCACUUAUAGAUGGAUCCGCGCCGCAUUAGCUAGUUGGUACGGUAACGGCUUACCAAGGCAACGAUGCGUAGCCGACCUGAGAGGGUGAUCGGCCACACUGGAACUGAGACACGGUCCAGACUCCUAAGGGAGGCAGCAGUAGGGAAUCUUCCGCAAUGGGCGAAAGCCUGACGGAGCAACGCCGCGUGAGUGAUGAAGGUCUUCGGAUCGUAAAGCUCUGUUAGUAGGGAAGAACAAAUGUGUAAGUAACUAUGCACGUCUUGACGGUACCUAAUCAGAAAGCCACGGCUAACUACGUG
rnacentral:rRNA from 1 species